rnacentral:rRNA from 1 species
UACAGAGACUGCAAGCGUUAUUCGGAUUCACUGGGCGUAAAGGGUGCGCAGGCGGCCAAGUGUGUUAGGCGUGAAAGCCCGGGGCUUAACCCCGGAAUUGCACCUAAAACUACAUGGCUAGAGCAUUGGAGAGGGUAGCGGAAUUCACGGUGUAGCAGUGAAAUGCGUAGAUAUCGUGAGGAACACCAGAGGCGAAGGCGGCUACCUGGACAAUUGCUGACGCUCAGGGCAACGAAAAGCGUGGGGGAGCAAAAAGGG